CGCCUGCGAAUUAGAAAACAUCUGCUGACUGACAUAAAUAGGAACACACCUGAUCAAGUCGACACUUGAACACCACGACACUAACACAACAGGCCGCCUGAACAAACUUCAGUAUGUUUUGGAAACACAGUCUCCUCAUUACAGUCUUUGUUCUCCUCGCUGUAGUCGAGUUCAGCCGCCCAGUGGAUGCAAAGAUACCAUAUCCCUGUGAUAGAUGGGACGCGACAUGCAUCUCAAUCAGGCCCUGUAAGGAUGUGAUUGGUCCGACGUUUGCCACGUGUCCUAAAGGCGCUGUCUGUUGUCGAGGAAUCGAGACAGUCGACGGGCCAAAGUAAACAGGGUCCAAUCGGACAUCCGUGUCUGGCCGGGACAUGCCUGUACCAUGGGUCAUCUAUCUACACUUUCUAGGUCACCUGUCAAGACUUUCUAGGUCAUCUGUCAAGGCUGUCUGUGAUAUUCCCUUAAAGCUACAACCAACACGAAUCUUUCUGUCACAUAAACUCCACUGUCUUGGCUGAUUAAAGAGUAUGACAACUU